rnacentral:hammerhead_ribozyme from 1 species
AUCCGGCUGACUUGUCCUAAAUAGGAUGAAACGCGUGUUUUGGAU